rnacentral:tmRNA from 2 species
ACUCUUUCAUUCAUGUUACCAAAAGACUAUAAUAAUUCUGUCGGUGUUCCGACUAUGGUGAUAAAUGCUUUGCAGAAUAAGCGAGACGGACCCGGGGGCAGUGCCCGGCGCCUCCACCAACCUAUCAGUUUUUCUGAUGGUUAUCCUAUAAAAUGGCUAAAGCCAUUUGAUUUAUGGGGGCGAAACAGGAUCGACGUGCGUGGUAAAAUCAAAGUUUUUACUCGGUAUUGUACCACCGUUAUCGGGCUAUUUUUACAAAUGCAAACGAUAAUGAAGCAUUUGCGGUAGCAGCUUAAUAGCAUAGUUACCACGGGGUCCGGGGGGCACCUUGCAACAGAAGCCCCCCAUU